GAUGAACGCUGGCGGCGUGCCUAAUACAUGCAAGUCGAGCGAACAGACGAGGAGCUUGCUCCUCUGACGUUAGCGGCGGACGGGUGAGUAACACGUGGAUAACCUACCUAUAAUACUGGGAUAACUUCGUGAAACCGGAUCUAAUACCGGAUAAUAUAUUGAACCGCAUGGUUCAAUAGUUAAAGACGGUUUUGCUGUCACUUAUAGAUGGAUCCGCGCCGCAUUAGCUAGUUGGUAAGGUAACGGCUUACCAAGGCGACGAUGCGUAGCCGACCUGAGAGGGUGAUCGGCCACACUGGAACUGAGACACGGUCCAGACUCCUACGGGAGGCAGCAGUAGGGAAUCUUCCGCAAUGGGCGAAAGCCUGACGGAGCAACGCCGCGUGAGUGAUGAAGGUCUUCGGAUCGUAAAACUCUGUUAUUAGGGAAGAACAAAUGUGUAAGUAACUAUGCACGUCUUGACGGUACCUAAUCAGAAAGCCACGGCUAACUACGUG
rnacentral:rRNA from 1 species